AUACUAACAAGGCUUGUGUUGAUUAGGGGGUGUGGCAUUGGUAAGGGGGUUCAUAUGGUUAGGGCUAGUGUUAAGGCCAGGAUAGGGGCAAUAAUGAAUAUGGACACGGAGGAUGUUAGUGGACGUAGAGGUUCUUUGGUAAAUAGUUUUACGGCAUCUGCGAUUGGUUGGAGAAGCCCAUAGGGGCCUACGACAUUUGGUCCUUUGUGGAGUUGUAUAUAUCCUAGGAUUUUUCGUUCUACUAGAGUCAGGAAUGCUACAGCUAGAAGGAUUGGGAUAAUUGUAGAGAGGAGGGUGAUUAGAUACAUUAUAUUAAAGAGAGGAUUUGAACCUCUGGUACUAAAGGUUUAAGUUUUAUGCAAUUACCGGUCUCUGCCACUUUGACUAAGUCCUGGGAUAGG